rnacentral:rRNA from 1 species
AUCAUUUAAAGAAAGCGUAAUAGCUCACUGGUCGAGUCGGCCUGCGCGGAAGAUGUAACGGGGCUAAACCAUGCACCGAAGCUGCGGCAGCGACACUCAGGUGUUGUUGGGUAGGGGAGCGUUCUGUAAGCCUGCGAAGGUGGCCUGUGAGGGUUGCUGGAGGUAUCAGAAGUGCGAAUGCUGACAUAAGUAACGAUAAAGCGGGUGAAAAGCCCGCUCGCCGGAAGA